AACAGUUUGGGAAAUUACUGGAGAAAGUUGCAGUGAAGUCUACCACGACCACUAGCUUGACCUAUGCAUGGGAGCAACUCAUGAAGUCUGUUAUUUGUGUGUCUAGAAAUCGGUCAUUGCAUUUAUCGAUUGUUCCAGCAUCCGUCGACAACAAUUUUGAAAGGUGCUGGUAUGGUUCUGAAGGCGAUAAUCGAGAACUUCACUUUAGGAAGCUGAUGAAGAAACCGCGGCAA
rnacentral:lncRNA from 1 species